rnacentral:rRNA from 1 species
GAGUUGAUCAUGGCUCAGAACGAACGCUGGCGGCAUGCCUAACACAUGCAAGUCGAACGAACUCUUCGGAGUUAGUGGCGCACGGGUGCGUAACGCGUGGGAAUCUGCCCUUGGGUACGGAAUAACUCAGAGAAAUUUGUGCUAAUACCGUAUAAUGUCUUCGGACCAAAGAUUUAUCGCCCAAGGAUGAGCCCGCGUAAGAUUAGCUAGUUGGUGGGGUAAAAGCCUACCAAGGCGACGAUCUUUAGCUGGUCUGAGAGGAUGAUCAGCCACACUGGGACUGAGACACGGCCCAGACUCCUACGGGAGGCAGCAGUGGGGAAUAUUGGACAAUGGGCGAAAGCCUGAUCCAGCAAUGCCGCGUGAGUGAUGAAGGCCUUAGGGUUGUAAAGCUCUUUUACCCGGGAUGAUAAUGACAGUACCGGGAGAAUAAGCUCCGGCUAACUCCGUGCCAGCAGCCGCGGUAAUACGGAGGGAGCUAGCGUUGUUCGGAAUUACUGGGCGUAAAGCGCGCGUAGGCGGUUUUUUAAGUCAGAGGUGAAAGCCCAGUGCUCAACACUGGAACUGCCUUUGAAACUGGAAAACUUGAAUCUUGGAGAGGUCAGUGGAAUUCCGAGUGUAGAGGUGAAAUUCGUAGAUAUUCGGAAGAACACCAGUGGCGAAGGCGACUGACUGGACAAGUAUUGACGCUG